rnacentral:tRNA from 1 species
GCUAGUGUAGCUUAACCAAAGCAUAACACUGAAGAUGUUAAGAUGGGCCCUAGAAAGCCCCACGGGCA